ensembl:lncRNA
CGCUAGUGGCGCUCUUCUUGGAGACGGUGCCAUCUGGUAGAGACACUCCUCCACGACAUGAGGGCAAAGGUAAAUUUUAUCCACUCAAAACGAUUGUUUUGUAGGCAUCUUCCUUGUUGCUAUGCUAGUUAGCUUUAAGUGAUUUGGCUGGCUAGCCUGUUAACUGCGACAUAACUGCACGCAUUUUGUAGUUAGCCACCUGCUACAUUUUAAAUACAUUGAUUAUCGCGUUCGGUGCAUAGGCUUGUAGUAAUUUCUAAGACAACAUAAAAUCUUUGACGUUUGUAUAGUUGGAUAAUGCAAUGAAGAGCUUUGUCAUUCUACGAUAGCUUUUUCACGCGCAUUUUUUUUCUCUCUAGAAAUACUGCACCAAACGUUUUGGCUCCCGAGUGUCAUAGCGGUCUAGGGCACUGUUUUUAUUGGUCACAUACACAUGGUUAGCGUGUGUUAUUGGCGAGUAUAGCGAAAUGCUUGUUUCUAGUUCCAACAGUGCAGCAGUAUCUAACAAUUCUCGAAUUCAAUUACCUACUACACCCAAAUCUAAGUAAAAUAAUUAUAUAUAGAUGAGUAAUGAGAGCGGCUUAGGCAUGAUGCAAAAUAUGGUAUAAAUGUAUACAUGAGAUUAGUAAUGUUCACACAUCUUGCAUGUGACCAAUAAAAUGUGAUUUAUCAUUUUAUUAGUAUCCAAGUCUGUACGUAGGCAGCAGCCUCUAGUGAUGGCUGUUUAAGUCUGUUUGGCUUGAGAGAAGCUGUUUUUCACUCACUCAGUUCAUGCUUUGAUGCACCUUUACUGACCUCAUCUCAGUGAUUGGGAGUCAAAUGGAGCGGCUCAAUGGCCCAGCGUCGUCCAGGUGGAGAAAGAAGCGUAUGCGCAGGCUGAAGCGCAAGAGGCGAAAGAUGAGGCAGAGGUCCAAGUAGAAUGCCUCCCCAUACAACACCAUGGCUGUGACCCUUCUGGACACAACACGGGACCAAGGAUCUCAUGCUUAAAGUCUGAUCUGAGAUGUGCCAUCCAUGCCAAUGAGAGGCUGUAAAGAGACAGUGCUACUGUUGUCUUGGUCAAGAGACCACCUGCCUGGGAAAAUUAUGGGGACAUUCUGGAUUCUCUACUCUUCUACCAAACCUAUCCUACUCCAUUGCUUUUGUUUAUACUUUCCCAAUAAAGUUUUUGGUUUAAAGUUGUCUUUGUUGCUUCUGAAACAGGGUCCAGAAUGUAAUUCCUACCAUGCUGCACCCAUUUACCAUUAUUGCUGACAAGAGUUCAGUUCUGGUGAGUAGUCAUAUCAAACAUUCUUAUAGGUAGCCCAUAUGUUGUGAUUCCCUUAAAACCAGUUUAGGGGUUAUCAGUAUGAUAAGGUUAUGCUGCAUGCCUUCUCGCAGCUGUUGUGUCACUGUUGUGAGGCGUGCAUGGACUGCUCCAGACGGGGGCCAUCUGGAGCACGGUCUCCUGAGUGGUGCAUCUCAGUGCUAGAUGCCCCAGUUUGGUCCCGGGCUGUAUCUCAACUGAUUGGGAGUCCAAUAGGACUAUCACAGCAACACGUGCAACUUAGUUUUCUAGGUAAAUUUACUGUGAACAUUCUCAUUUCAAACAAUGACCUGGGGGAUUAAUGAGCCAAACGGAAGCUGGGGAUGAUUAGGUGGUAAUGGUAUGAGGACUAGAUUGGGUAUUUAGCCAGGACACUGGGUUUAACGCCUGUUAUAAUUGUCAUGGGAUCUUUAGUGGCCAAAGGUCGGACACCUGUUUUAAUGUCCCAUCUGGUGGUCCCCAAUCACCGCCCUGGAGCAUUGAUAUCUUGGUUGACGUAGUUUCCCUGGAUACCUGGCUGUCACUAAGGGCAAUUCUGUGGGGGAAAACCAUUUAAUUUAACGUCAUGUAUAGAGUAUUGUAGCCAAUGGUUUCUAUUUAAUGCUAUGUAAACAUAUCUAUGUAGGUCUUCAUUUUGUUAUUAAGUUGACGUGAAAAAUAAAUUAAACCGCACCCCAAAUGGUCAAAAACAAACAGGUUUACCCUGGAGGCAAAACGGUUUGAUCUCUCUGGCACUGUCUUACAGGCUGUUCAAAUAGAUGUCAGCCAAGCAUACUCUGUUUUUAAACAAGUGAGAUUUGGAUUUGAAAAUGGGUGGCCUAUUGUAGGACAUGUGUUUUUCCCCAUUACAAAUGCAUGUUGGACUAUUAAUCUGUUUCUAAAUUACUAAUUUACUAGUGUAAACCCACUGAAGAAAAAUACAGGACAGUCAACAGCCUACAAUAACGAAGCUUCUCCAAAACGUGUGCGUAAUACUCAUAGUUCUACAUUAUACCAGGUGUCAACCGAGGUAAUGGUCGUGUUGCUGUAUCAAAUACGUAGGGUACCCAACUAUCACGUUUAUUCAUUGGCCUCCAGUAGAUAUACAGGCAAUUCCAGUGGUGUAAAAAUACUUUAAAGUACUACUUAAGUAGUUUUUGGGGCAUCUGUACUUUACUAUUUAUAUUUUUGACAACUUUUACUCCACUACAUUCCUAAAGAAAAUAAUGUACUUUCUACUCCAUACAUUUUCCCUCACACCUAAAAGUACUCGUUACAUUUUGAAUGCUUAGUAGGACAGGAAAAUGGUCUAAUUCAUACACUUAAAGAGAAAAUCCCAGGUUAUACCUACUGCAUCUGAUCUGGCGGACUCACUAAACACAAAUGCUUUGUUUGUAAAUUAUUUCUGAGUGUUGGAGUGUGCCCCUGGCUAUCCGUAAAUUUAAAAAACAAGAACAUCGUGCCAUCUGGUUUGACUUUUGAUACUUAAGUAUAUUUUAGCAAUAACAUAUACUUUUGAUACUUAAGUUUUUGGGGCGGCAGGUAGCCUGGUGGUUAGAGCGUUGGGACAGUAACUGAAAGGUUGUUGGAUCAAAUCCUCGAGUUGAGAAGGUAAAAAUCUGUCGUUCUUCCCCUGAGCAAGGCAGUUAACCCACUGUUCCUUGGUAAACUUGUUCUGACUUGCUUUGUUAAAUAAAAGUAUAUUUAAAACCAAAUACUUAUUUUAUUUUGCUCAAGUUGCAUUUUACUAGGUGACUUUUACUUGAGUCAUUUUCUAUUAAGGUAUCAUUACUUUUACUCAAGUAUGACAAUUGGGUACCUUUUCCUCCACUGGGCAAUUCUUAGUCGGAAAGCUAUUGGUUUAUGUAAGGGAACACCCCCCUGAAAUGGACAAAAAUGAAUGGGAUGUUAUUGGCACCGUAUGAAACAUAUAAACGAUGUACA